rnacentral:rRNA from 1 species
CAGUCGCCGCGGGAAUACGAAGGGUGCAAGCGUUACUCGGAAUUACUGGGCGUAAAGCGUGCGUAGGUGGUGGUUUAAGUCCGUUGUGAAAGCCCUGGGCUCAACCUGGGAAUUGCAGUGGAUACUGGGUCACUAGAGUGUGGUAGAGGAUAGUGGAAUUUCCGGUGUAGCAGUGAAAUGCGUAGAGAUCGGAAGGAACAUCUGUGGCGAAGGCGACUAUCUGGGCCAACACUGACACUGAGGCACGAAAGCGUGGGUAGCAAACAGGAUUAGAUACCCCAGUAGUCCCUGUCUCUUAUAC